rnacentral:lncRNA from 1 species
GACUUCCGGUUAGCGCCAGCAGCAAUGGCUGACCUCCUCUGAUCUCGGAGGGGGUAGCUCAGUGGAAAAUCGGGUCCUGUGCGCUCCGGCGAAGCGGGGACCCUUAGAAAUCGCAGGCGCGGAAGCCUGCGAACGUGGAGGCUCGGCGGGCACCUUGGAGCGCCCCCCAACCCGAAAGGAAGCCUUUUUUUGAGGCUUCGGAACGGAGCGGGGGAGAAGCGCGGUGCUGCGAGCGGAUCGCUGCUUCCACUGAGCGAAGCCGUGUUGCCGUUGCUGGAGAGCGCUGACUUAUUCCUGGAACAUUUGGACUGAAAUUUUAACCGUGAGUAGAGGAAUUGGAUUAAAAGAGCACUAAUUGGAUUAAUUGGACUAUCUGGAUAAAAGCGGAAAAGUUUUAGCUGCAAAAAAAACGUCUGAAUUGGCUACCGCGGUGGAAGUGCAAACAGGAAGUCCGCUUCCCCGCAUUGUAUCCGGAAUAAAGCAUAGAGAUUUUGAGCUAAACGUGGGAAAAUUGAACUGAAAUAAGUGUUUUCUUUCUGACCUGAGAACUUUGGCGGAAUCUACCUUUCGGAGGGAUAAAGGGAAAGGCUGUGUUUUGACUCUACCGGACUGCUUAAAGAUUUAAAGAUUUAAAGAGCAAUCUGUCAGUGAGACGUCUCAGCUGUCAAAAGCUGUCAGUGCUGCUUGUUGGCUGUAAAGAAGAUAUAUUGUGGCCAAUUUCAUUGGGGAAAAUAAUUGGAAAGUUACAUUGUGUCCUCCAUCUUUGUCUUUCUACUUAGUUUCUCUUUCCUGUUAUUUUAGAAGGACAGUAACUGGUUUGGUGGCAACAGUGUCCACCUAGUGGGACUCCCUGAAACUACAGGAAAGGAAUUUUCCACUUGUAAACAGGAACAGCAGACGUGGGAAAAGAACUUGACCUUCACUUUGUUAUGGCUGAUGGCCAAAAAGACCAGUCAGUCUUGAGAUCAGGGAAACCUUGGGUACAUAGAAGGCAAUCAUCUGCUGGUUUGCCUGCAUCGGCAACACAAUCUAAGUCUGGUGGAAUGUCUGAGGAAAUUUUAGCCAGUGCUUUGGCUAAGAUUAAUGAAUCUAUACAGCAACUUAGUACAAGGGUGGGGGAGACGAAUAGGAAAGUGGAAGAAACGAACCAGAAAGUGGACAUUGCUAAUAGAAAAAUUGAUUUAAACACAGAAACAUUAGACAAUUUGGAGAAAAAGGUAAACAGUAACACGGAAUCUAUUCAGAGAUUACUCCAAGACUCAAAGUCUAUACAGGAAAAGACUGCUGCUGUGGAAUUUAAAUUGGGGCAAUUGGAAACUGAAAAGGUACCAGACCUGCAGAAAGAGAUUGCAGAACAUAAGUUACCGUUGUCUAUGAUUGAUCUUAGAGACAAACAAACGAAUCUAAGAAUUAGAGCUGUUCCUGAGUUGGAGAAAGGCACCUUGAUAGACUUUUUGACACAAGAAUUUCUGGAAUUUUGGAAAUCGGACCUGAAACAAGAGGACUUUAAGAUUGUGAGGGCCUUUCGACUGGGGAAAGGAGGAAGAAAGAUUAAAAUAAGGGACUGUUUGAUUACCCUCCGAUCCAAAGAAGAAAGGGACAAAAUUUUGGGCUUGCAUUACGAAAAACCCUUGACAAUCAUACAAUCAAAAGUGGAAAUCUUUAAAGACAUACCAAAACAUCUUCUUGACUUAAGACAGGAUUUUGGAGACUUGGUGGCCUUGUUGAGAAAAAAUAAAAUCCUUUUCAGGUGGGAAUUCCCUCAAGGUCUAUCCUUUAGUUUUAAAGGAAGAAAGACCAAGAUAAGAUCAGUGGAGGAAAAGAACAAGUUUUUGAGUGCAUACGAAGAAGAUCUACAGAAAGGAUUGGGAAAAGACACUGCGAUACCGGAUAAGAGUCUGCAAAAAAAAGUGAAACCAACGCCACCGACAGACAUAGACAAACUUCUUGGGGCUGUUGGAGGAGAAGGAGAGUAACUACAAAAUGACACUACAAGUUUUAAGCUGGAACAUUAAUGGUCUAAAUUCGUCGGCAAAAAGGGGGAGAGUAUUCCAUACAUUGAAAAAAGAACAUUUGGACUUGAUUUGUUUACAAGAGACCCAUGUGACAAGGCUACAUCGGAAAAUUUUGAUAAAUAAAAGAUUGGGAGAAGAAUUUAUUUCAUCGGACAAUGUGAAAAAAAGAGGGGUAGUACUUUAUGCGAAGGAAAGCCUGUCACCAAAAUUUAUAUUUAAAGAUGACCAAGGAAGAUAUAUAGCAAUUGAAAUUCAGUUUCAAGGACAGAAAUUUUUGAUAAUAGGUGUAUAUGCACCAAAUGAGGGAAAAUCAGAAUUCUUUAAAAAAUUGCACGAAACUCUCCUGGAUUAUUUGGAUUACAACAUUAUUUUGAUGGGAGAUAUGAAUGGAGUAGUGUCUACAAAUAUGGAUAAAGCCCAAAGACAAACGGUGACAAAAGAUGGAAGACUACCAAAGACAUUUUUUGAAAUGACUGACAAUAUGGAUCUUGUGGAUAUUUGGCGAAUAAAGAACCCCUUGGAAAGAGAAGGAACCUUCUUCUCUGAAGCAAAUAUGACAUGGACAAGAAUAGACCAAAUCUGGAUAACUAGAGGACUGGCCCCUAAGAUAAAAAAAGCGGCGAUUUGCCCGAAAAUUUGCUCUGAUCACAAUCCAGUAAAGAUUGAAAUGAUAUUAACGCCAAUUGGAGCUUUCAGAUGGAGGAUGAAUGACUCCUUAUUUAGGAAUGAGGAAAUUAUUAAAAAGGCCCAGAAGAAUUUGAGAGACUAUUUUGAGAUAAAUCUGAAUACUACGACAGAAAAAAGAGUGAUUUGGGAUGCCAGCAAAGCGGUGAUGAGAGGAUUUUUGAUACAACAAAAUGCAAUUAGGAAAAGAUAUC